GCGGCAACGACAACGACAACGACAACGGCAAAGGCAGAAGCACCUCGUACGAGUACGCAGCUGUGCUUCAAUGUCGGCCACGAUCAACCGGCGUAGAAUUCCCCGCGCUCGAAGGAAUCUCCGCGUUUACCAUCUUCUGAGGUUACCGACAGAGGCAGCACUGGCGUCCGACUACAGGCACUCUAAAAAAUCGAUAAUUCUUCUUAAUGUUAGUCUUAUCCAAUUUAUAUCGCUUAUUAUUUGGAGACAUAAAUUUGUACAAUUAAUUUUUUCUUUCUUUUUUUCAUAAAAUCAAGUCAAUUUUUUUUAUUUUUGUGACAAAUACGAUUUCAUGAAUCACGUGGUAAAACAGAUUAAAUUUAAUUAUGCGAUAAACGUGAUUAAAAGAUUUUGAGGGGAAAAAAAGAAAGGGUAAUAUAACGUGUGUGAAAAAUUAUUGUACUUAGGUGAAUAUAAAAUGAAAGAAAAUAUUUAGAAUACGCUAAUUUUUUUUAUAGACCUUUUUUUUAUUUUAUCUCAUUUUAUUUCGUCGAAAUAAUGUAAUGCCUUCUUUUGUUUUUUUUUUUCUUUUAUCUUAGAUGCGAGAGUAUGUUUUAUAUAUUUGUUGUGUUUUCUUAAAUUUAUUACUAAAAAUAUUCAUCGGUAUUUACACUUACAUUUACAAAGAUUUGUACAAGAAUCGAUUUGGCCAGACACAAAUAUGGAAUGAUAUGAAUUACUUAAAUAAUCACAUACAUAUUUCCAUUCAUUCGUAGAAUGCUUUAAAAAUUGUAGACAAAGGUGAACAGAAAUUUUUCAUUGAUAAAGAUUAAAAUAUUUAUAAAUUAACAAUUAUAAUCUGCCUCGUAAUCUUUUUUCUAUUUUUAAUUUUUCUUUUUUUUUUUUUUUUUUUUUUUCAAAAAUCACUCUCGUCGACAAUUUCCAAAGUAUUGAUGAAAAACAUACACACAAAUAAUAGAAUAUUCAAAGUUUGUAUGAUUGGCAUUUCUUUGUGCAUAAUGAUUAUUAAUUUUUCAUUAUAUAUCUGAGUUUUUCGUAAUAAGAAAGAGAAAUGAUUCGAAUCACUUCAAAUUAUUAAUUUUCUUUCUUUCCUUUUGUUUGAUGAUUCUUAAAAUUUAUAUUAAGAAAUAAAAUUCAUAAAUGAUCGGAUACAUUCAAUUCAUGAUCAUCGAAAUAAAUUUACAAUUAAAGGUCACCUAAUUUAGAGCGACAACAAAUUGGAAAAAAAAAAAAAAAAAAAAUAAAAAAUAAGAAAACCACAUUAA